GGAGAGGUGGCAGAGUGGUCGAUUGUACCUGACUCGAAAUCAGGCGUACGUGCAAGCGUACCGUGGGUUCGAAUCCCACCCUCUCCGCCA
rnacentral:tRNA from 3 species